CCAGUCUACGAUGCCUGCUCGGUCUACCCUCGAAACCAACUGGAAAUCUAAAAGAUAAAAUCUUCUUCAUUGAUAAUAUUUUCGAUAAAGAAAAAAUUCCGGACGUCUUUGAUGAUUGCUGAGAGAGGUGUGAUUCUUAUUACAUCGUGAUUUACCCAAAAUCUGUUGAUGCUAUUACUUUCUUCGCCUGAUGCUGUAACGUUUGGUCUGGAAGGAGGAUAAUAACCAACUCUGAUAUCGAGGGAAUAUAUACCUCAAAUCGUACAUCCAAGUCGGCCAAAUUCGCAAGCAAGAACUCAUAAAGAGAUCACCGUCCUUGUAAAGAGCAACGUAAUGUUUUAAACAAUGUGGGCCAGGAAGAGUGGCACCAUCUGGAGUAUCCCAUUCACCUGGUAAUGAAGGUCGACCGACUGUGAUAUUGGUCCGAUAAUAUCCUCUUGGAUGUUCCAAUGGAGACAAGAUCAAUUUAGGUCUGAUGGUUUUGUCUGGAAAAAAAUAAUGACCGUAAUCGCGUCGACCAGUUAUGAUGUUUGAUUCAUUCAUUCGAAAUAAAAAGAAGAAGCGAUGAAAGACAAAAAUACGAUCAUCGAGAAACGGUGGUUGGUUCUCCAGAGGUGUCCCGAUUAAAAAAGUCGAGAGAAAGAAGAAGCGAUCGAGGGACAACCCCAGACGACUGAGCGUACACCAACUUUGCUCGGUCAAGCUCGGACGCGCGGAGUUCUAGUUUAAUAUAGAACCCAUUGGUUCGCUUGUAAAAUGUUCGAGCGCAUUGUACCAUCCUUCCAUCACUUCCUCGGACACGUCAAUUUGUUCGAAAAGGGGGGAACCGUGUUUUACCUACGUCUCUCUCUCUCUCUCUCUCUCACCAUUUUGUCUCUCCUCUUGGACUCUCUAUCGACGACGUGUAGAGUCAAGGGGUCAGACUCGACCACCUAACAUUAAACACCCCAUUUCCUGCGUAUCUUCAGAAGAUAGAUAGACGGAAAGAAA
rnacentral:lncRNA from 1 species